rnacentral:rRNA from 1 species
CUCCUAGGGGUGGCAGCAGUGCUGAAUCAUUCACAAUGGGCGAAAGCCUGAUGAUGCGACGCCGCGUGGAGGAUGAAGGCCUUCGGGUUGUAAACUCCUGUCAGGGAUUAGGAAUAAUGACCAAUCCCAGAGGAAGCACCGGCUAAAUUCGUGCCAGCAGCCGCGGUAAUACGAAUGGUGCAAGCGUUGUUCGGAAUCACUGGGCAUAAAGGGUGCGUAGGCGGUUUGGUAAGUCAUUUGUGAAAUCCCUCGGCUCAACCGGGGAAUGGCUCGGCAAACUACAGAGCUUGAGGCAGGUAGAGGCGACUGGAACCUUAGGUGGAGCGGUGAAAUGCGUAGAUAUCUAAGGGAACGCCAGUGGCGAAAGCGGGUCGCUGGGCCUGAUCUGACGCUGAGACGCGAAAGCGUAGGGAGCAAACGGGAUUAGAUACCCCGGUAGUCUACGCUGUAAACGAUGCGCACUAGGUACAGGAGCCUCUGACGGCGCCUGUGCCGAAGCAAAAGUGUUAAGUGCGCCGCCUGGGGAGUACGGCCGCAAGGCUAAAACUCAAAGGAAUUGACGGGGGCUCACACAAGCGGUGGAG